rnacentral:rRNA from 1 species
UACGAAGGGGGCUAGCGUUGCUCGGAAUUACUGGGCGUAAAGGGCGCGUAGGCGGAUGUUUAAGUCGGGGGUGAAAGCCCGGGGCUCAACCUCGGAAUUGCCUUCGAUACUGGACAUCUUGAGUACGGGAGAGGUGAGUGGAACUCCGAGUGUAGAGGUGAAAUUCGUAGAUAUUCGGAAGAACACCAGUGGCGAAGGCGACACACUGGCCCAAUACUGACGCUGAGGCGCGAAAGCGUGGGGAGCAAACAGG